UACAGAGGGUGCGAGCGUUGUCCGGAAUCACUGGGCGUAAAGGGCGCGUAGGCGGCUCAGUAAGGUUGCGGUGAAAGCCCGGGGCUCAACCCCGGGUCGGCCGUGGCAACUGCUGGGCUGGAGCACUGUAGAGGCAGGUGGAAUUCCGGGUGUAGCGGUGGAAUGCGUAGAGAUCCGGAAGAACACCGGUGGCGAAGGCGGCCUGCUGGGCAGUAGCUGACGCUGAGACGCGAAAGCGUGGGGAGCGAACAGG
rnacentral:rRNA from 1 species